GUUCGGAAUCGCUUCAGUAGAAUGGAUUUUUUUACUUUCGUUAGUGACUUGUACGUAAAUGUAAUAAAGCUAACUGCAGUACUAUACCAAGCUACACCGAUGUGAGGGGUUGAAGAGAUGGCUGGAAGUAAUGGCGAGAGGGUGGAGAAGGCUGUGGAAAGAGAGAGUAGAAAACGGGAGGGCUGAUGGGGUAAUUGGUGAUAGGAAAAAGGGGAGUGAGAAAGUGAGGAAAAUAAAAGGCCGUUUUUAACUGUAAAAGCCAUUUCACGCUCGCACCGUUUCCUGUCAAUCUGUAAUUGGUGAAAAAGAAAUUUUUGUUAUUGUCACAGCGCUGUAAUUUGAGUAAAAAGAGAAACCUUCGCAAAUUUUAAAAAAAUUAGGUCACUAGAGAAUAAUUUUUUAAUUUCAAAAAAUUAUAUUUAUUUACGUCUAAAAAAAUCAAAAGUAUUACUGUUGUCUAUUCUUCAAUUUACAAUAUUCAUCUAUAGGCAAAAAUGCAGGCGGUG